CCAAAACAAAUUUGACCCGUGGGUAGCACCGUACCCAGUCAUUAACUUGGCCCGUAUUUGUUUAUAGCUCCAUACGAAACCCUAGCUUAAUUGCUAUAAAAUCCAUGGCCGACGUCCUACUUUCUAUGAGUUCCGCCAUUUUCUUUACGAUUCUAGGGUUUGUACUUCGAAUUUCCUUUCGAUGUAGAAGCUAUUCAAGUAGUGUGUUAAUGGUAUUGUAUAGGAAUGGGUAGAAAGAGGUCGCGGUGAUGACUCCAUGAAAUUCAAGCUCAACAGACCGGAAUGCAGGCUUCUCUUUCUAAGAGAACUUUGCGUGUCGACUACCCCGCUGAACUGAGCGAUCUCUUUCUUCUGCUCUGUCUAUCACUUUUUUAUUUUUAUAUUUUCUGUUCGAUUACUGAGAAAAUAGUUGUUCGAUUGAGAAAAUCAAUUGAACCUUCAGAUUGAUUAUUCCCUGUUUUUCUUCCUUUCUAAAAAUUCCCUUUUUUUUUUUUCCCCCUCAAAUUGUCCAUAAAAAAUCUUUUUUUAAUUUAAUUUUGUGGGAAAUUGUGGUUUUUCAAUGAGGAUUACAAAGCUCCCUCUUCUGAAUUAAAAGCUGAGGAAGAUUGCUGGCAGAAUCGAACCAAAUAUUUAUAUCGCCACUACUGAGUUAACCAUAGAUUUCCCACAAAACUUUGUAUUUUUUUGUGCUAAAUUUUGCUUUAAAAUAUUUCAUUCCUGAUUUUUUUGUUGUUCUUUGAUGUUUUUUUGAGUUUGAUAUGUUUUUAACACUUUGGUUGAUUGGGAUGAAGCUUUACAAAUAAUCCAACACUUGAUCUGAGUGAUACAUUGUAUCCUUUGAUGUCAAAUGAAUUUGCUUCUGAAUCUUGGUUGUUUCAUUUUAUUUGUUUGGUAAAUUUUCUUUUUUUGGGUAUAAAAAUUGCUACUUUUUGUUCUUUAGGGUGUUGCUUAAAUGCUCUUAUUGUUAUUGAAUUCUGACUUGUGAUGGUCAAUGUGAUAUGGAAUUGGAAUCAUCAUAGGAUGAAAUCAGGAAUAAUCUUAGGACACCUUCCUACACAGCUCCACCUGCUGUGGAUGAGAAGAACUUUCCGUUCUGAUGAUGAUUAAUAUUAUAUAUUUGUUUUUAACUUUUAUGUUUUUGAACUUUUACAGUUUAGACAAUUUGAAAUUGUAUGCAACAUUCUUUGUGUUUGGUAACGCUCGUGGUGAUGGUAAUUGAUUAGGCAUAUUAGGUAGCUGAAUGCUUAUAAGGUUUUUGUUUUACUGUGAGAAAUGCUCUGAAUUGCUGCGUUGGUUUAACAGACUCUAUAUUAUGCUUUGUGUAAUCUUACCAAUAUUUUUUCAUAUUAAUUCCAGUGUUGAUAUCUAUUAGAGUUUACAAGUUAUGAUGUCUAAUCUAUCUGGACAAACAAGAGCAGUCCUUGUAACGAGUUUGUGAUUUUGCAUUUUCUAAUUACUAAUUAGACCGUGACAUUUCAAUGAUGGUGAACGUAUUUUUUGCUUUUUAAUAUCGUAAAUUGUAAUAUUUUUAUAAAUCAUUUUAAUGAUAAUCUUCAAUCUAAAGCUAUCAUUUCUUGGUUGUUGCUGACAGUACCUUUGAAAACAGUGUAAUUCUCGGCUUCUCCUAGUAGAAGCUGUUUAGUCAUUGUUUGUCAUGUUAAGUAUACUUAAGAUGUGAAUUGCUUCAUUAUCAUAUGCCUUAGAUAUGAAUUACAUGUUAACCUCGGGGGGAAAAGCAUUUAUGAAUGAGUGCUUCAGAUUCUAUUGGAAGAGGAAACAAAUAAGUAGAAGAUUAACCAAAAUUUAUAGGUUUAUUUAUACUGAUAUUGUUUUUUAAUUAUUUUUUUUCUCUACUAUAAUUGUUUUUCUUAAUUGAUCAAACAAAAAAUUUGUCCGGAGAUUAAAUAAGGGUAGAGGUAGUGUUAUAUAUAUUUUUCAAUUGAGUGCUUCAAUUUAAAUUUCAAUUUCACUUAGGAUGUUUGUUUUCAAUUUUUUAAGUGAAAUGCUCUGUUUUAGUUUUAUUUUGAAUAUAAAUAAAUUUAAGUAAAAUUUUUGGCAAACUAAAUCUCUUGCUGUAAAUUCAAAAAUAUUAUUGACUUAAAUUUUUAAAAUACAACAAAACGUAAGUGGUAAUGUUGUAGUAAUCAAAAUAUUGAUUGAAAAUAUUUAAUCAAAAAUAUUAACCAAACAAAAUCUGUUGACGGAUUAUCGGUUUAUUUAUUGUAAAUCAAGAAAAUAAAUCAAUAAAAUACAAUUUUACAAACUAAAAUUGAGGAUCCCGAUUAAAAAAUUUGGAAAUGGAGACGCUAUGGUUAAAUCAACAUGAAAAUUAAGACAAUUUGCACAAAGCUCCUCUGCAAUUCAUCAUAAUUAAUACAACGCAGCAAUCAAAAAUACAACUACACUGAUCUUAGUAAAAGGGGCUUUAGACGCACUAGCUUCAGGUUAAUGCCAGAUAAAAAGGAUUUUGGUUAUAGUUUCCCGGGAUGGGGUGGUACUUGUGAUAUUUGGGCUUGGCAUGUAUUUUAUUUGGCGGUUUUCUGGAUGAUGAAGCAUUUGGUGUCUUCCAAGGGUUGACAGAAGCUACAGAGGAAGGUUGGUCCAAUAUUGGUGCGAAUCCGAUACUAGGAAAAUCAUUCUCAGUUUGAAUAACAAUGAUUUGCAAAAGCUGCAUUGGCUGGUGGAGGGACUAAUCAAGGACAUCACUCAGCUGAAGAACAAGUUCCAAGAAGUGAUUUUGUGCUGGUCCUGGGAAAACAAAUUUUUUAGCUCAUUUUGUUUGGAAUUGGUGCAUUAGGAAUGGUGUAUAGGUUCCUUAACUAGUAAUCUUCUUCCUAGUGCUUUUUUUCUCUUUUGUUUCCUAGGAAUGUGGUUUUUAAACCACCUCACCUUUUGUAAGCUUCGGCUAGGUUUUGGUUAUAGAACACACCUUUCUAGCA